AUUGAACGCUGGCGGCAUGCUUUACACAUGCAAGUCGAACGGUAACAGGCCUUCGGGUGCUGACGAGUGGCGAACGGGUGAGUAAUGCAUCGGAACGUACCCAGAGGUGGGGGAUAACGCAGCGAAAGCUGUGCUAAUACCGCAUGUGAUCUGAGGAUGAAAGCGGGGGACCGAGCAGCAAUGUUUGGCCUCGCGCCUUUGGAGCGGCCGAUGUCGGAUUAGCUAGUUGGUGGGGUAAAGGCCUACCAAGGCGACGAUCCGUAGCUGGUCUGAGAGGACGACCAGCCACACUGGGACGGAGACACGGCCCAGACUACUACGGGAGGCAGCAGUGGGGAAUUUUGGACAAUGGGCGCAAGCCUGAUCCAGCAAUGCCGCGUGCGGGAAGAAGGCCUUCGGGUUGUAAACCGCUUUUGGCAGGAACGAAACGGUGUCCGCUAAUACCGGGCGCUAAUGACGGUACCUGCAGAAUAAGCACCGGCUAACUACGUG
rnacentral:rRNA from 1 species